AUGAACGCUGGCGGCGUGCUUAAUACAUGCAAGUCGAGCGAACAGACGAGGAGCUUGCUCCUCUGACGUUAGCGGCGGACGGGUGAGUAACACGUGGAUAACCUACCUAUAAGACUGGGAUAACUUCGGGAAACCGGAGCUAAUACCGGAUAAUAUAUUGAACCGCAUGGUUCAAUAGUGAAAGACGGUUUUGCUGUCACUUAUAGAUGGAUCCGCGCCGCAUUAGCUAGUUGGUAAGGUAACGGCUUACCAAGGCAACGAUGCGUAGCCGACCUGAGAGGGUGAUCGGCCACACUGGAACUGAGACACGGUCCAGACUCCUACGGGAGGCAGCAGUAGGGAAUCUUCCGCAAUGGGCGAAAGCCUGACGGAGCAACGCCGCGUGAGUGAUGAAGGUCUUCGGAUCGUAAAACUCUGUUAUUAGGGAAGAACAAAUGUGUAAGUAACUAUGCACGUCUUGACGGUACCUAAUCAGAAAGCCACGGCUAACUACGUG
rnacentral:rRNA from 1 species